rnacentral:sRNA from 1 species
GUAUUUAUAAAGAAAAAAUAUAUCUGAUAGUUUACAAUUGUUAUUAAGUAACAUCCCGCCAAAAAUCUCAUUAGUUUUAUUAUUGUUA